rnacentral:lncRNA from 1 species
AAAAAAUUACGAAAAACCGAAGCUUACCAGCGGCGGUGCUCUCGGGUGCGGCGGCUCUCCGGCGAGGUUCGUGUUUUGGUGAUUUGACUCCGAUCAACCUGUAGAGAAAAGAAUGGUGAUCAAGGUUAUAUAAAAAUUGUAUCAAACAGAGGCUGGAAAGGGCCUCAUCGGAGGCAAAAACUGAGGAGGGACGCGGCAGCGCCGCUGGGUU